rnacentral:rRNA from 1 species
AUAUCAAUAAGCGGAGGAAAAGAAACCAACAGGGAUUGCCUUAGUAACGGCGAGUGAAGCGGCAACAGCUCAAAUUUGAAAUCUGGGCCUCUCAGAUCCCGAGUUGUAAUUUGUAGAGGAUGCUUCGGCUUACGCCCCGGUCUAAAUUCCUUGGAAUAGGAUGUCAUAGAGGGUGAGAAUCCCGUUUGUGGCCGGCGGCUUCCGCUAUGUGAAGCUCCUUCGACGAGUCGAGUUGUUUGGGAAUGCAGCUCUAAAUGGGAGGUAAAUUUCUUCUAAAGCUAAUACCGGCCAGAGACCGAUAGCGCACAAGUA